ensembl:lncRNA LMCD1-AS1 LMCD1 antisense RNA 1
AUAGGUAAUUAUGUCUUCAUACUAUGGGACACUUCCCUCAGAUGCAUCCUCUAAACUGGAAAGAGUUAAUUUCCCAAAGCUUAAACUGGUUGGCUUAGGAUUGGGCUCAGGGGAAGAGAACCCAGAAACUCAACAUGCUGACAAAAGGGUGAAGUUUUUUACCAGUCGGAUUUUUGGCCUCCCUCUCUCUGUGAAAAACAGUAAAAGGUCUCAGUAUUUUUAAAUUUUCCUCACCCCUCCCAGUGUUUCAUUUUGAUACGUUUUCUAAUAACCCAGUGUGUCUUUUCUUGCCUUCAAGCCAUCAAACUCCAAACGGUCAUGCAACUGGAGCCUCCGGCGAUGGUCCCUUUUGCCAGGGACCCUGAGAUAGGCCUCCGAGGGAGCUCUGACUGCCAUUUCCCCAAAACAGCCCCCACUAUCAGCAGGAAACAGCUGCCUGAGCAAUUGUGUCUGGUUCGUGAAGUGACUUCCCAUUUUCAUCCAAUUGGCCCUGAUCUCACAUCCCAAGCCCAUGGAUCAUACCACAUUGUUCUUUCUGCAAAACAGUUGAGAAUUACCAGUAAUUGGGACUGUUUACAUUCAAUGCCAUCAUGACAGAAGCAGCUUUAUUAUAUUGCAGAGGAAUGAUUAAUACAUGAUGGGGAUUAAAGAUUGCACUGCAGCAGGCCAAGGCAAGAGGCAAUAAAGAUUAAUAAUUUUAGAUUUCCACUGUAGCAAGAACGGGAAAAAAGCGUCAUCUGAAAUGCCAACUUCAAGCAAUUGCAGUGAUUUCCUGGAACCCUACGUGACAAGUCCAGAUUCAGUGGGAAAGACUGUGAGGAUCCGUUAGCAAUGUUUACGAUGGGCAAGUCUUGUGAUGGGGUUACCCUCCUUGCAUUAGAAUUUGCAGUCUUCUAUUAGGCCAUUAGUCUUUGAGAGCAAAAACUGUAUGUAUCUCAUUUUUGUAGCCCCAGUGCCAGGCACACAGUAGCUGCUCCAAAAGCAAAGGACAUCGAGUCUGAAUCAAGCUGCUUGGGUUUAAUGGCUGUCUUUGUCGCUUACUAGCUGAGUGGACUCGUCAUAUUUAUAACUUAAUUGUGGUUCAGUUUCCUUCUCUACAGAAAAGGCAUGAGUUCCUCAUUCAUAGAGUUAUAAUAAGGGUUAAAUAAAGUCAUGCAUAUCCAAAGCUUAGCAUAGUACCUGAGACAUAGCAAAUACUUGAGGAAUGCAGGUAUAAAUUAACAUAGGAGUGAAUAACAUUGCAAGGAAACAGAGAAAAGGAUCCUAAACAGUCCUGCUGGUAUAUUCAUUUAUGAUUCAAAAAUCCUCAAUUGUUAAAAUUUGGGUCAGAACCUUAUUAUUCCAGGUUGUUGGUAAAUGUGAGGACCCUUCUGGGUUUGGAAGUAGAACAAUAAAUUGAGAGGCCAAAGAAGCUGCAAAUAAAAAUUGGCUUCUCUGGGAAAAUGAUUUUCACAUUUAUACCUACCUGCCUUUUGUCCUCCCAUGCAUUUCUCCAGAUGUGAUACCAAUGUGAUACAAUUGUUGUUUAUUCCUUCUCUGACAAUAGCAAGGUAGAGUGAGCCUUCCAGUGAGGGCUUAAAAUAUAGCUCCAGAGACAUUCACCACUACUUCCUGCCUCCAUGGUUACACAUUCCCUUUCACAAAUAAAACAUGGCCUCAUGCUUCAUGCUGAGCUUGCAUUUUACAUACAUCAUUUGGAUCUUCUCUGCAAACCUAUGAAGUGGGCAUGGUAAUCUUCCUUUACAAAUAGAGAAACUGAGGCCUAAGAUGGGGAGCAAUUUCCCUUUAAAAACCUUUUAUUGUCAAGGUCCAAAUGGCUGAUGAUUCAUGCCAUAGACAUCCCAAACCAGCUGGUAGGCAGAGCUCUUGGCAUUCCAAAUGGAAACGUGGAACAGACACAGAUCACCUGGCCACACAGACCUCAGCUCUAAAGACAGAUGACUACUUACCUGUUAAAGUUCCCUGUGCACUAUUUUUUAAAAUCUAGAGAUAGAUAAUAAAUAGGUUAAGUUACAUUUUAAAUUAGCCCAAGAGCAUUUGAGAACAGAAUCAUUUUUAGAAUCUUAAUUCUGAGAUUCACUGUUGGGCUUAAGUCACUGCUUCUGUGAUGGUUAGUUUUGGGUGUGAACUUGACUGUAUUAAGGGAUACUUACCUGGGAAAGCAUUAUUUACUCUCCAUGCUUCAGUAGAUACUGAGCCCUUCCCUUUUCUGCUGAAAGGGAAACCCAGGUGGCUUGGCGUUUGAUUAGAAUAAUUGGGCUGCCCCAGGUGUGUCCGUGAGGGUGCCUCUGAGGGAAACUGGGACUAAAUGAAGAAGAUCUGCCCUCCAUAUGGGCAGGCACUAUUCCAAUUGGCUGGGGGCCCCAGAUAGAACAAAAAGGCAGAUAAAGGGCAGUCUCCCUGGAGAAGAGACCUGCCUGUAGACAGACAUCAGAACUCCAGGUUCUCCAGCCUUUGGGCUCCAGGACUCACACCAAUGCGCCACCGGGCUCUCUGACCUUCAGCUUUGGACUGAGAAUUACACCAUAGAAUGCCCUGGUUCUGAGGCCUUCAAACUCAGACUGAGCCACGCUACAGGCUUUCCGGAUUGUCCAGCAUACAGAAGGUCUGUUGUGGGAUUUCUCAGCCUCCAUGAGUAAGUAAGAAAAUUGCCUCUAAUAAAUCCUUUUUCAUAUGUCUCUCU